GAGCCAAGAUCGAGGCCAUAACAUAUAUGUAUGAGACAGUCAAACAUUUCGACAAUUUGCUCCAUGAAAAGCAUGUUUACAAGAUGCAUAAUGUAAAGUUCAGUCUUCAUCCGGGUGAAUUUAAUUUUCAUCAUCUAAAUGGUCCCAUGGAAUUGUGUCUUGACCAACAAACUAUCGUGGAGCCAUACACUGUUCCAAUUCAAAUGGCGCCAUUCCCAAAACAAAUACUCUUGAACCUUGCUGAUAUUGCCGAGUUGCCAAACAGGACUUUAGUCGACAUUAUGGCUAUUGUAGUCCACUUGGAUACAA